rnacentral:rRNA from 1 species
GACGAACGCUGGCGGCGUGCUUAACACAUGCAAGUCGAACGGAAAGGCCUCUUUCGGGGGGUACUCGAGUGGCGAACGGGUGAGUAACACGUGAGUAACCUGCCCUUGACUUUGGGAUAACUUCAGGAAACUGGGGCUAAUACCGGAUAGGAGCUCCUGCUGCAUGGUGGGGGUUGGAAAGUUUCGGCGGUUGGGGAUGGACUCGCGGCUAUCAGCUUGUUGGUGGGGUAGUGGCUUACCAAGGCUUUGACGGGUAGCCGGCCUGAGAGGGUGACCGGCCACAUUGGGACUGAGAUACGGCCCAGACUCCUACGGGAGGCAGCAGUGGGGAAUAUUGCACAAUGGGUGGAAGCCUGAUGCAGCAACGCCGUGUGCGGGAUGACGGCCUUCGGGUUGUAAACCGCUUUCGCUCAUGACGAAGCUUUGUGUGACGGUAGUGGGUAAAGAAGCACCGGCUAACUACGUG